rnacentral:rRNA from 1 species
CAGCAGCCGCGGUAAUACGAAGGGGGCUAGCGUUGUUCGGAAUUACUGGGCGUAAAGCGCACGUAGGCGGAUAUUUAAGUCAGGGGUGAAAUCCCAGAGCUCAACUCUGGAACUGCCUUUGAUACUGGGUAUCUUGAGUAUGGAAGAGGUGAGUGGAAUUCCGAGUGUAGAGGUGAGAUUCGUAGAUAUUCGGAGGAACACCAGUGGCGAAGGCGGCUCACUGGUCCAUUACUGACGCUGAGGUGCGAAAGCGUGGGGAGCAAACAGGAUUAGAUACCCCCGUAGUCCCUGUCUCUUAUAC